CACUCUUAAAUCGUUUGAUUUAGUAUUGAACUAUAUAUUUUUCUGUUGCAAAAUAGAAAAUAGUUUGAAAUUGAUUUUGGCAAGAAGCAAUAUCCAGUUUGAAGCUUUCUUUUUACAACGUAAUAGGUUUUACCAACUCGUUGGCUAGUAAGGAGCUUUGUUAUAUUUGGAUAUAUCGCUUUGGCGUUAUAAUUUUUUGAAAUUAAAAGU
rnacentral:misc_RNA from 1 species